rnacentral:rRNA from 1 species
UACGUAGGGCGCAAGCGUUGUCCGGAAUUAUUGGGCGUAAAGAGCUCGUAGGCGGCUUGUCACGUCGGAUGUGAAAGCCCGAGGCUUAACCUCGGGUCUGCAUUCGAUACGGGCUAGCUAGAGUGUGGUAGGGGAGAUCGGAAUUCCUGGUGUAGCGGUGAAAUGCGCAGAUAUCAGGAGGGACACCGGUGGCGAAGGCGGAUCUCUGGGCCAUUACUGACGCUGAGGAGCGAAAGCGUGGGGAGCGAACAGG